rnacentral:rRNA from 1 species
AACGAACGCUGGCGGCACGCCUAACACAUGCAAGUCGAACGAGACCUUCGGGUCUAGUGGCGCACGGGUGCGUAACGCGUGGGAAUCUGCCCUUCGGUUUGGCAUAACUGAGAGAAAUUUCAGCCAAUACCUUAUAAUGUCUUCGGACCAAAGAUUUAUUGCCGAGGGUUGAGCCCGCGUAGGAUUAGGUAGUUGGUGGGGUAAUGGCCUACCAAGCCGACGAUCCUUAGCUGGUCUGAGAGGAUGAUCAGCCACACUGGGACUGAGACACGGCCCAGACUCCUACGGGAGGCAGCAGUGGGGAAUAUUGGAAAAUGGGCGAAAGCCUGAUCGAGCAAUGCCGCGUAAAUGAUGAAGGCCUUAGGGUUGUAAAGCUCUUUUACCCGGGAUGAUAAUGACAGUACCGUGAGAAUAAGCUCCGGCUAACUCCGUG